ACAAGAAUGCUACUAUAACUUCAGUUUCAGAGGCAAACCGCCAAUCACAUCAGUUUUUGGGACAAGGAUGAGCCUUUCAUGUGAGAAACCAGGCGGGAGUUUGAGGAGUGGAAACGCUAACGUGAGCACUCCGCCGCCCCGUCACGGUCGCAUGUGGAGCUGCGAGGCAACAGGUUCCACUCGGCCUCGCUGGAGCGCCGCCGGCCACUUGCAGCGUCUGCCAUCCCAUCCAGAAUUCGAAUCAGGAGCGCCGCGCCUCCUCGCCAGUGGACGUCCAAAAUUUUCUCGUUUUCUUGAAGCACAAGAAGCAAAGAGGAACACCUUGUGCGAUAAACCCAACGCACCCAUCGUCUCAUUUUAAAUGCACGCCUUCACAUUCUCCAGGGUCAGCCGAUGAUGGCGGCUGAACCUUAGCUGGUUGUCAUGGUGGUAAAGCCCGCACGCCGCCCUUCAAUCAGCUCAAUACCAGGAAUUGUUUUGUGACAAUAUUCCCAAUCUGCACUGUACAGUCGACAGCAUUUUGUUUUCCACUAUCUUUUAAGUGACAGUUUUUUCAUUUAGUUUGACUCGCUAAAUCCAAACCUGACGACUUGUAUGGUGGCUUGUUUACUUGUUUUUUUCACAAAACCCCAAAUUACUUCAAAAAAUACGGAAAUGUAAUGCAUGCACAUAUGUAGGAUUGCUUAUAUGGCGUAUAUGUCCUUAUUAAAGACUCUUAAAUGCACAGAAAUAGUACAUUAAUACAGAAAUAUAUUCAAAUUUGGCCCAUUUGCAUAUAUGGAAAUUGAUAUGGACAUAUGACAAAUAUAUAUGAUAAGUACAAACAUCAUUUCCAGUUUUUUGAGUUGUGUGUUGUGCACGUACGGAUGCACAUGUAUGGCCAUUUAUGCACGGUAUGUUGUUUUCAUAUAUGCACAUACUGUAUAUAAGCUACAUGUGUUUGUUUGACAUCUAUGGGUGAGACAUAUAUGUGGCCAUCAAAUCCAAAA